rnacentral:rRNA from 1 species
GACGAACGCUGGCGGCGUGCCUAACACAUGCAAGUCGAACGGAACUGUUUUGAAAGAUUUCUUCGGAAUGAAUUUGAUUUAGUUUAGUGGCGGACGGGUGAGUAACGCGUGAGUAACCUGCCUUCAAGAGGGGAAUAACAUUCUGAAAAGAAUGCUAAUACCGCAUGACAUAUCGGAACCACAUGGUUUUGAUAUCAAAGAUUUUAUCGCUUAAAGAUGGACUCGCGUCCGAUUAGUUAGUUGGUGAGGUAACGGCUCACCAAGACCGCGAUCGGUAGCCGGACUGAGAGGUUGAACGGCCACAUUGGGACUGAGACACGGCCCAGACUCCUACGGGAGGCAGCAGUGGGGGAUAUUGCGCAAUGGGGGCAACCCUGACGCAGCAACGCCGCGUGAAGGAUGAAGGUUUUCGGAUUGUAAACUUCUUUUAUUAAGGACGAAAAAUGACGGUACUUAAUGAAUAAGCUCCGGCUAACUACGUG